rnacentral:rRNA from 1 species
CCUACGGGUGGCAGCAGUGGGGAAUAUUGGACAAUGGGCGAAAGCCUGAUCCAGCCAUGCCGCGUGUGUGAAGAAGGCCUUCGGGUUGUAAAGCACUUUCAGUGGGGAAGAAAGCCUUGGGGCUAAUACCCUCGAGGAAGGACAUCACCCACAGAAGAAGCACCGGCUAACUCCGUGCCAGCAGCCGCGGUAAUACGGAGGGUGCGAGCGUUAAUCGGAAUUACUGGGCGUAAAGCGCGCGUAGGCGGUCUGAUAAGCCGGUUGUGAAAGCCCCGGGCUCAACCUGGGAACGGCAUCCGGAACUGUCAGGCUAGAGUGCAGGAGAGGAAGGUAGAAUUCCCGGUGUAGCGGUGAAAUGCGUAGAGAUCGGGAGGAAUACCAGUGGCGAAGGUGGCCUUCUGGACUGACACUGACGCUGAGGUGCGAAAGCGUGGGUAGCAAACAGGAUUAGAUACCCGGGUAGUC